rnacentral:rRNA from 1 species
ACGGGUGAGUAAUACGUAGGAAUCUACCUAUUGGAGUGGGAUAACCUAGGGAAACUUAGGGUAAUACCGCAUAAGCCUUACGGGGUAAAGCAGGGGAUCGCAAGACCUUGCGCUAAUAGAUGAGCCUACGUCGGAUUAGCUAGUUGGUGGGGUAAAGGCCUACCAAGGCGACGAUCCGUAGCUGGUCUGAGAGGACGACCAGCCACACUGGGACUGAGACACGGCCCAGACUCCUACGGGAGGCAGCAGUGGGGAAUAUUGGACAAUGGGGGCAACCCUGAUCCAGCAAUGCCGCGUGUGUGAAGAAGGCCUGCGGGUUGUAAAGCACUUUCAGUGGGGAGGAGAGGCCUAUGGAUAAUACCUAUAGGAAGAGACGUUACCCACAGAAGAAGCACCGGCUAACUCUGUGCCAGCAGCCGCGGUAAUACAGAGGGUGCAAGCGUUAAUCGGAAUUACUGGGCGUAAAGGGUGCGUAGGUGGUUUUAAAAGUUGGGUGUGAAAGUCCUGGGCUUAACCUGGGGACUGCGCUCAAUACUGUAGAGCUAGAGUACUGUAGAGGAAGGUGGAAUUUCC